rfam:Faecalibaculum rodentium strain Alo17, complete genome.
UACUAACUGCAACCGCACAGAAAAGGUUGAAGCGGUCAUGCCGCACCUUGAUGGCGAGUAUCAGAAUGAAC